UACGUAGGGUCCGAGCGUUGUCCGGAGUUACUGGGCGUAAAGGGCGCGCAGGCGGCGGUGCUGGCCCGGCGUGAAAGCCCCCGGCUCAACCGGGGAGGGUCGUCGGGGACCGCACCGCUUGAGGGCGGUAGGGGCCGGUGGAAUGCCUGGUGUAGUGGUGAAAUGCGUAGAUAUCUGGAGGAACACCGGUGGCGAAGGCGGCAUCCUGGACCAACACUGACGCUGAGGAGCGAAAGCCAGGGGAGCAAACGGG
rnacentral:rRNA from 1 species